CCUACGGGUGGCAGCAGUGAGGAAUAUUGGUCAAUGGGCGCGAGCCUGAACCAGCCAAGUAGCGUGAAGGAUGACUGCACUACGGGUUGUAAACUUCUUUUAUAAAGGAAUAAAGUGAGGCACGUGUGCCAUUUUGUAUGUACUUUAUGAAUAAGGAUCGGCUUACUCCGUUCCAGCAGCCGCGGUAAUACGGAGGAUCCGAGCGUUAUACGGAUUUAUUGGGUUUAAAGGGAGCGUCGAUGGUUUGUUAAGUCAGUUGUGAAAGUUUGCGGCUCAACCGUAAGAUUGCAAUUGAUACUGGCAGCCUUGAGUACAGUUGAGGUAGGCGGAAUUCGUGGUGUAGCGGUGAAAUGCUUAGAUAUCACGAAGAACUCCGAUUGCGAAGGCAGCCUACUAAACUGCCACUGACAUUGAUGCUCGAAAGUGUGGGUAUCAAACAGGAUUAGAUACCCCAGUAGUC
rnacentral:rRNA from 1 species